UGAUCACCUUCUCCCAUGGAAAGCUUAAAAUCAUUAAUUAUCAAAGGUAAAUUUAUAUAGAAGUCAGACUAUAGUCACUGAAACUAAAAUACAGGUAGGUUCUCAAUCCCUAUGCAUAAGGCAAGUUUACACAUGGAAUAACUUCUCUCUCUCUAUUCCCUGGCUUACUUUUGAUAGUUGUCUUGUCCUCAUCAGUUUGUUUGUCUGUAUGUUGUUUAUAUGCCUUUUGGGUGAAUGUCUCUUUAAGGAGCAGAGGUGAUGUAACAUCCCAGAAUAUGGAUGAGAGUUAAAAAAUGGCAGUGAUGAGAGUGAUUAACUGAUUAAUAUGUAGUGAGGAUGGAUUAGGAGCUGGGAGAAGAGAGAGGCUGGAAAAAGAAAGUGUAUUAUUAACAACACAAAAGGAAAAAUGGAACAAAUUAUUAAAAUAUGAAAUCUAAAGGAGGAAAAAUGGUUGCAGAAAGGCUACCAGAUGACAGCAGGAAACAUUGUCUGGUGUAUUUUUAGAAGAGAGAUGGAAUAGUAGGAGAGAGGAGCGUUUCUGAAGACCAGUGAAGAGCCUAAAGGCAGACCCAGGAGGGAUCAGUUGUGGAGCACUACUUCUGCCAUAUCCCAAUUCCAUUUCCAGUAACUCCCACCAGCCUGGAUUCUGAGAUGAGACUGCUGGCUUUUCUUCAGCACACUGAGAUUCUGAACUGAUAUUCAUCCCAGUGGUCAGCAUUUGACCCUUGAGGGAAAUAGUCCCACAUGUUAAGGAAGGGCAGUUGCACUGAUCAAUAUGGGGGUUGGUGAGGGACUUUAUUACAAUUUUGAAGCUGUUGAGUACAAAAGAAUAAAAAUACAAAGAAAUCUAUACUGGGUCAUACCAUAUCAGUGUGUGGGAGGUUUCUAAAUUUUCUCUUUAAUUUUAAAAGAUUAUUAACUUAUAAAGCUAUACUUGAUUAAAUCUCAAGUACUACCUAAGCAACCCAUCCCUGGAGAGAGCCCUCAGAAUGAGUGCAUCCUCUGCUUCUCCAGAAACCAUUUUAAGUUAUUAUCUCAGUGCUAGUUAAGAUGAAGCAAAGCCUCUUAAUAAGCUACUUCUGCAUGCCACAUAAUAAAACAGUUUGAGCAGCUAUUUGAACACUUACCCACACGCAAUCUGAAAGACUGGCUGUAAACUACUUAUAAAGGUUCUCUGUGGAUACAACAGAAGAGAGAUGGAAAACUAGUUUUAGUUUUAAGAACAGGGAUUAAAUAUGCUGACUUCCAGAAAGACCAUCACACAUCUGCAAUACCCACUGAAAAUUAAAAGAAAAUCAUGUCGCAGUUAAUAAAUUAUGUAUGCACACACACACACACACACACACACACCUCCAACCCUCAACUCUAGCUUUUGUCGUUUAGGUGUUUUUAAUGGAGAGGGUUUUCUUGUGAGAUGAAAAUGCCCAUAUAACUAUUUCUCAUGGUGUUCUAGCAGAAUCAGUUAAUAAUACCCCACAGCCCCAUCUAGCAGACAAGAAACUGAAGCUCAGAGUCAAGGAAGUUACUAAGAGCCCCACAAUAUAGUACUGGGGUCAACCUUAGAGUUCUGUUCCUAAAACCUCUCAAUCAGUUGCUAAGCUAGGUUGACCUCAUCAAGUACAGGCAUACCUUGGAGAUAUUGCACAUUCACUUCCAACCACUGCAAUAAAGCAAGUAUUGCAAUAAAGUGAGAUGUAAUCUUUUAUGCUGGUGGAGGAUCUUGCUUUCAAUUUGUGAAACACACAUCUAUGAAGAGCAAUAAACUGGGGUGCAAUAAAACAAGGUGGGCCUGUAUUAGCAGCCAAAAGGCAAAGCACAUAGCACCAAGGUCCCUGCCCUUCCCGACUUUCUAAUAUUAAAAUUGAAGAAUUUCUUUUUCACUUAUAAGUGGCAUUUACUUCACUAUAGAGGAGCUCACAAAUGCUGGUAUAGACUAUAAAAUACAGCAGAAUGAGGCAGAAGAAUAAGGAUUAAAAGCUGAGAUGGGAUACAUCUAAGGAAUGAUAAGGAUGGAAUUAAGAGAAUGAGAAUAACUAAUGGGGUAUCAUAGGGCUAAGAUGAUGAUAAUAGGGUGGAGCUAAGAUGAUAUUAACAAGCUGGGGAACAGUUGAAAAAGCCAUGAAAGGAGUGUGGGUGAGAUGGUUCAACAAUACAAAUGGUCUCGUGGAAAUGAGGGCAGAGUGCAUUUACCAGCUGUGAACAGUGUGAUGACAAAAUAUUAAGCAGAGUUAUUUUAACAGU